rnacentral:rRNA from 1 species
CCUACGGGUGGCAGCAGUGAGGAAUAUUGGUCAAUGGGCGGGAGCCUGAACCAGCCAAGUCGCGUGAGGGACGACGGUCCUAUGGAUUGUAAACCUCUUUUGUCGGGGAGCAAACGCGCCCACGGGUGUGCGGAUGAGUGUACCCGAAGAACAAGGAUCGGCAAACUCCGUGCCAGCAGCCGCGGUAAUACGGAGGAUGCGAGCGUUAUCCGGAUUUAUUGGGUUAAAGGGGUGCGUAGGCGGACGAUGAAGUCAGCGGUAAAAAUGCGGUGCUCAACGCGGUACAGCCGUUGAAACUGGCAGUCUUGAGUGGGCGAGAAGUAUGCGGAAUGCGUGGUGUAGCGGUGAAAUGCAUAGAUAUCACGCAGAACACCGAUUGCGAAGGCAGCAUACCGGCGCACUACUGACGCUGAGGCACGAAAGCGUGGGUAUCGAACAGGAUUAGAUACCCUGGUAGUC